GACGAACGCUGGCGGCGCGCUUAACACAUGCAAGUCGAACGGAAAGGCCCUGCUUUUGUGGGGUGCUCGCGUGGCGAACGGGUGAGUAGCACGUGAGUAACCUGCCCUUGACUUUGGGAUAACUUCAGGUAACUGUGGCUAAUACCGGAUAGGAGCUCCUGCUGCAUGGUGGGGGUUGGAAAGUUUCGGCGGUUGGGGAUGGACUCGCGGCUUAUCAGCUUGUUGGUGGGGUAGUGGCUUACCAAGGCUUUGACGGGUAGCCGGCCUGAGAGGGUGACCGGCCAGAGUGGGACUGAGGUACGGCCGAGAAUCCUACUGGAGGCAGCAGUGGGGAAUAGUGGCCAAUGGGCUGAAGCCUGAUGCAGCAACGCCGCGUGCGGGAUGACGGCCUUCGGGUGGUAAACCGCUUUCGCCUGUGACGAAGCGUGAGUGACGGUAAUGGGUAAAGAAGCACCGGCUAACUACGUG
rnacentral:rRNA from 1 species